rnacentral:rRNA from 1 species
AUUGAACGCUGGCGGCAUGCCUUACACAUGCAAGUCGAACGGCAGCACGGUAACUGCUACCUGGUGCCGGUUGCCGGUCGCGUGCGUAUUACAUCGGCACCUGUAUCUACUUUUGGGUGAGCGCGGACGUAGCCAGAUUAAUACCACUAACGCAUUCCGGCUUCAGGUGGAAGCCCUGGAGCUUCGGCGCUUUCGCGAUGGCCGGUGCCGAUGGCGGAUUAGCUAGUUGGCGGGGUAAAGGCCCACCAAGGCGACGAUCCGUAGCUGGUCUGAGAGGAUGAUCAGCCACACUGGAACUGAGACACGGUCCAGACUCCUACGGGAGGCAGCAGUGGGGAAUUUUGGACAAUGGGCGAAAGCCUGAUCCAGCAAUACCGCGUGGGUGAAGAAGGCCUUCGGGUUGUAAAGCCCUUUUGUUCGGAAAGAAAAGCUGGGGGCUAAUACGCCGCGGUGAUGACGGUACCGAAAGAAUAAGCACCGGCUAACUACGUG